CCGGGACAGGGCCUGGCCGGGCAGGGCAGGGCGCUCCGGGCAUCAGCUGUCCCCGGUAGGCCCAAGCCGGGACGGCGCGGUGCUCGGCCCGGAGGCCGCUCGGGGACCCCGCCGAGCCGCGGGCCCACCUGUGACGAGCAGCCUGACCACAAACUUGCUGAGUUUACAGCGUGGCGAUUCGGCUCCCGAGGAGAGGACCGUGGCCUGACUCAGGCCCAUGCAGUCUCUACACAGCUACUGCCGUUCCGCUAUGCCGCUAGCCCAAGUGUCGCCUGGCAGGAGAUUGCCUAAUGCAGGCCCAUGUUUGCUGAUCAAACCCCACUGCCACCUCUGGUUCCCUAAGAGGUCCUCUACCUAAGGACUCC